CCCGACUGCUAUCAGAGUAGGACUAAGCCAUGCGAGUCGACGUAGCAAUGCGUGGCGAACGGCUCAGUAACACGUAGUCAACAUGCCCAGGGGACGUGGAUAACCUCGGGAAACUGAGAAUAAACCAUGAUAGGUCAUGAUUUCUGGAAUGGAUCAUGGCUCAAAUCUACAUGGCCCCUGGAUUGGACUGCGGCCGAUCAGGCAGUUGGUGAGGUAAAGGCCCACCAAACCUAUAACCGGUACGGGCUCUGAGAGGAGAAGCCCGGAGAUGGGCACUGAGACAAGGGCCCAGGCCCUAUGGGGCGCAGCAGGCGCGAAACCUCUGCAAUAGGCGAAAGCCUGACAGGGUUACUCUGAGUGAUUUCCGCUAAGGGGAUCUUUUGGCACCUCUAAAAAUGGUGCAGAAUAAGGGGUGGGCAAGUCUGGUGUCAGCCGCCGCGGUAAUACCAGCACCCCGAGUGGUCGGGACGAUUAUUGGGCCUAAAGCAUCCGUAGCCGGUUCUGCAAGUCUUCCGUUAAAUCCAGCCGCUCAACGGAUGGGCCGCGGAGGAUACUACAGGACUAGGAGGCGGGAGAGGCAAGCGGUACUCAGUGGGUAGGGGUAAAAUCCUUUGAUCCAUUGAAGACCACCAGUGGCGAAGGCGGCCUGCCAGAACGCGCUCGACGGUGAGGGAUGAAAGCUGGGGGAGCAAACCGGAUUAGAUACCCGGGUAGUCCCAGCUGUAAACGAUGCAGACUCGGUGAUGGGCUAGCCUUGUGCCAGCCCAGUGCCGCAGGGAAGCCGUUAAGUCUGCCGCCUGGGGAGUACGGUCGCAAGACU
rnacentral:rRNA from 1 species